rnacentral:rRNA from 1 species
GACGAACCGUGCGAACGUUGUUCGGAAUCACUGGGCUUAAAGGGUGCGUCGGCGGGUUGGCCAGACUGGGGUGAAAUCCCACGGCUCAACCGUGGAACUGCCUCAGAUACUGACGACCUCGAGGGAGGUAGGGGCGAGCGGAACUGUGGGUGGAGCGGUGAAAUGCGUUGAUAUCCACAGGAACUCCGGUGGCGAAGGCGGCUCGCUGGACCUCUUCUGACGCUGAGGCACGAAAGCUAGGGGAGCAAACGGG